CUUACCCUGUGUCUGCAGGCUGAGAUGUGACUACAUUUCCAUCCUCCUAUGGUAUCCCUGGCUCUGGGGCUAUAUUCAGAUUUGGGUCUGGAAUUCUCUCCUGUUCAUGGCUCUGAAAAGUCUCCAGAGGCAACUCCUCGCUAGAGGCACAUGCUGACCCAGUGCAGGGCCAGGUCUGUGUGUCAGAUAUCGUGUUCAAUUUCUAGGUCUGCCAGGGAGAUUAUACCAGGAAGAGAACUCCACUUCUACCUUCAUUGAACUCCUAUCUUAACUGACAACAAAGUAAAAUCGGAGACAAACUGUAGAUCCGUGACUCUAAGAUCAUCACUCUUCUAUUCUUCAAAGAGAAGCUUGCAUUAUAUAUUUUCUGCAUUUUGGUUGCCCAAUAAAAGUAAUAUUCUUUUGUAGAGUUUGUAUUUUGUUGCAUUUUACUGUAUGGCCAGCAUGGCUAGCCCUGAAUUUGAAUUUUGCUACAGCAGGGUAAAUUGACAGGUGUGAACAAAUAGACUGGUACUUACUUCCGUAAGGCUUUUACUUACAGCAAUGGUAAAAUUCUUUUAUUUGAACUACAAUGGAUAGGUUUUAGACGUUUCCCCAAAACUUUUGGUACAGGGAUUUCUUGAGAAAUUCAUAGGAAAUAGGUAGCUUUGAUCAAAAUGGAAGUUACUUUUCCCUUGCUAAUGAGUUGAUAUUUUAUUACCAUUUUGGUUUCUCAUCUUUGCUGUACUGAAAAAAGGAAAGCUAUACAGAAAACUAGACCCAACACAUUAUUACUAGACAAGAAUUAGAAAAUGUGGAACCCUGCAUAUGAGUUGGACUACAAAGCCAUUCUGGUUGGGGAAAAAUGGGAACUGUGGGCUAACAUGUCUGGUUGGUAACAAACCUAUGAUGGUUUCAUAGGGCUGCCAAGAUGUAUAUCCAAUUCAGAUGUGCCUAGAACACCUACUUAUGGCAUAUGUAUAAUUCAUGUUAGUUUAGGAUUCAAACAUAUAGCUGUAUUAAUCUGUAAUAUUUGUAUGCAGUAGGAUCUUGUAGCAGCUUUGAGACAAACAGAGAGAAAGAAAUGGAAGCAUAAACCUCAAAA
rnacentral:lncRNA from 1 species